AUUGAACGCUGGCGGCAGGCCUAACACAAGCAAGUCGAGCGGAUGAAGGGAGCUUGCUCCUGGAUUCAGCGGCGGACGGGUGAGUAAUGCCUAGGAAUCUGCCUGGUAGUGGGGGAUAACGUCCGGAAACGGGCGCUAAUACCGCAUACGUCCUGAGGGAGAAAGUGGGGGAUCUUCGGACCUCACGCUAUCAGAUGAGCCUAGGUCGGAUUAGCUAGUUGGUGGGGUAAAGGCCUACCAAGGCGACGAUCCGUAACUGGUCUGAGAGGAUGAUCAGUCACACUGGAACUGAGACACGGUCCAGACUCCUACGGGAGGCAGCAGUGGGGAAUAUUGGACAAUGGGCGAAAGCCUGAUCCAGCCAUGCCGCGUGUGUGAAGAAGGUCUUCGGAUUGUAAAGCACUUUAAGUUGGGAGGAAGGGCAGUAAGUUAAUACCUUGCUGUUUUGACGUUACCAACAGAAUAAGCACCGGCUAACUUCGU
rnacentral:rRNA from 1 species